rnacentral:rRNA from 1 species
AGAGUUUGAUCCUGGCUCAGAACGAACGCUGGCGGCAGUAACACAUGCAAGUCGAACGCACUCUUCGGAGUGAGUGGCAGACGGGUGAGUAACGCGUGGGAACGUACCUUUCGGUUCGGAAUAACCCAGGGAAACUUGGGCUAAUACCGGAUACGCCCUUACGGGGAAAGAUUUAUCGCCGAAAGAUCGGCCCGCGUCGGAUUAGCUAGUUGGUGGGGUAACGGCCUACCAAGGCGACGAUCCGUAGCUGGUCUGAGAGGAUGAUCAGCCACACUGGGACUGAGACACGGCCCAGACUCCUACGGGAGGCAGCAGUGGGGAAUAUUGGACAAUGGGCGAAAGCCUGAUCCAGCCAUGCCGCGUGAGUGAAGAAGGCCUUAGGGUUGUAAAGCUCUUUCAGCGGGGACGAUAAUGACGGUACCCGCAGAAGAAGCCCCGGCUAACUUCGUGCCAGCAGCCGCGGUAAUACGAAGGGGGCUAGCGUUGUUCGGAAUUACUGGGCGUAAAGCGCGCGUAGGCGGACCAUUAAGUCAGAGGUGAAAUCCCAGGGCUCAACCCUGGAACUGCCUUUGAUACUGGAGGUCUGGAGUUCGGGAGAGGUGAGUGGAAUUCCGAGUGUAGAGGUGAAAUUCGUAGAUAUUCGGAGGAACACCAGAAGCGAAGGCGGCUCACUGGCCCGAUACUGCGCUGAGGCGCGAAAGCGUGGGGAGCAAACAGGAUUAGAUACCCUAGUAGUCC